GGGGCUGUAUUGGCUUCGACGGAAAAAAGAAAACAUGAGCAGCGGGUAGUGGCGUGAGACCACUAUAAAACUCACAAAAACAAUAAACGCUAACAAUAAUAAAGUAGCUCUCGCGGCCUAAUAUAGGCUGCGUGUCCUGCCUGGUUUGCCGCAGGCCGGGGCCAGGGCAUCAUUUAUGCGGCGUACGUGAACAGUCUCAAGCUUUGCGGGCUGUCAUGAAUUUAUGAAGCUACCGAGGCGGCUGCCUGUCAACCGGCAUGCCGAAGGGGGAAUCUCGUAGACUGACUGCACCCGGAGAUACUGAUGCGGCCUUUUUUUCGGACACGGGUUCAACUCCCGUCAGCUCCACCA
rnacentral:tmRNA from 1 species